CAUCUCCUGUGGUGUACGUGAGCGGGCCGGGUAAUCCCUUGAGCCUUAAUUCAUACCUACGGGAACCCCCAUAUCGAUGUUGUUGUGCAUGUCCUCCCCUGGAGGAAAGCCUGAUACGUCGUCCGGGUUCCCACUUGAACCCCCAGGUUCAAGGUCGAAGGUCAGUCACGGCACCGGCGGGAGAUGC
rnacentral:other from 1 species